rnacentral:rRNA from 1 species
UACGUAGGGUGCAAGCGUUAAUCGGAAUACUGGGCGUAAAGCGUGCGCAGGCGGUGAUGUAAGACAGGUGUGAAAUCCCCGGGCUUAACCUGGGAACUGCAUUUGUGACUGCAUCGCUGGAGUGCGGCAGAGGGGGAUGGAAUUCCGCGUGUAGCAGUGAAAUGCGUAGAUAUGCGGAGGAACACCGAUGGCGAAGGCAAUCCCCUGGGCCUGCACUGACGCUCAUGCACGAAAGCUGGGAGC